UACAGGGGGGGCAAGCGUUGUUCGGAAUUACUGGGCGUAAAGGGUCUGUAGGUGGCCAACUAAGUCAGACGUGAAAUCCCUCAGCUUAACUGGGGAACUGCGUCUGAUACUGGAUGGCUUGAGUGUGGGAGAGGAAUGCGGAAUUCCAGGUGUAGCGGUGGAAUGCAUAGAGAUCGGGAAGAACACCCGUGGCGAAGGCGGCCGGGCUGGGCCGGGAUCCGACGCUGAGGCGCGAAAGCGUGGGGAGCAAACAGG
rnacentral:rRNA from 1 species